GACGAACGCUGGCGGCGUGCUUAACACAUGCAAGUCGAACGGAAAGGCCCUGCUUUUGUGGGGUGCUCGAGUGGCGAACGGGUGAGUAACACGUGAGUAACCUGCCCUUGACUUUGGGAUAACUUCAGGAAACUGGGGCUAAUACCGGAUAGGAGCUCCUGCUGCAUGGUGGGGGUUGGAAAGUUUCGGCGGUUGGGGAUGGACUCGCGGCUUAUCAGCUUGUUGGUGGGGUAGUGGCUUACCAAGGCUUUGACGGGUAGCCGGCCUGAGAGGGUGACCGGCCCCAAUGGGACUGGGGAAAGGCCCAGACUCCUACGGGGGGCAACAGGGGGGAAUAUUGGCCAAUGGGCGGAAGCCUGAUGCAGCAACGCCGCGUGCGGGAUGACGGCCUUCGGGUUGUAAACCGCUUUCGCCUGUGACGAAGCGUGAGUGACGGUAAUGGGUAAAGAAGCACCGGCUAACUACGUG
rnacentral:rRNA from 1 species